AAAACAUAGGUUCUCAUAUGAUCACCAAAGUUAAGCAAUGUCGAGCCUGGUCAGUACCUAGAUGGAUGACGAUUUGGAAAUACCAGGUGCUA